rnacentral:rRNA from 1 species
UACGUAGGGUGCGAGCGUUGUCCGGAAUUAUUGGGCGUAAAGAGCUUGUAGGCGGUCUGUCGCGUCUGCUGUGAAAAUCCGGGGCUCAACCCCGGACUUGCAGUGGGUACGGGCAGACUAGAGUGUGGUAGGGGAGACUGGAAUUCCUGGUGUAGCGGUGAAAUGCGCAGAUAUCAGGAGGAACACCGGCGGCGAAGGCGGCACUCUGGGCCGGUACUGACGCUGAGGAGCGAAAGCGUGGGUAGCAAACAGG